UACGUAGGGCGCAAGCGUUUGUCCGGAAUUAUUGGGCGUAAAGAGCUCGUAGGUGGCUUGUCACGUCGGGUGUGAAAGCUUGGGGCUUAACUCCAGGUCUGCAUUCGAUACGGGCUGGCUAGAGGUAGGUAGGGGAGAACGGAAUUCCUGGUGUAGCGGUGAAAUGCGCAGAUAUCAGGAGGAACACCGGUGGCGAAGGCGGGUCUCUGGGCAACUACUGACGCUGAGGAGCGAAAGCGUGGGGAGCGAACGG
rnacentral:rRNA from 1 species